rnacentral:rRNA from 1 species
CAGCGCCACGGUAAAACGGAGGGUGCAAGCGUUAUCCGGAUUUACUGGGUUUAAAGGGUGCGUAGGCGGGCAUGUAAGUCAGUGGUGAAAUACCGGAGCUUAACUUCGGAACUGCCAUUGAUACUAUAUGUCUUGAAUAUUGUGGAGGUAAGCGGAAUAUGUCAUGUAGCGGUGAAAUGCAUAGAUAUGACAUAGAACACCGAUUGCGGAGGCAGCUUGCUACGCAAAUAUUGACGCUGAGGCACGAAAGCGUGGGGAGCAAACAGGAUUAGAUACCCCCGUAGUCCCUGUCUCUUAUACA